AGAGUUUGAUCAUGGCUCAGAACGAACGCUGGCGGCGUGGCUAAGACAUGCAAGUCAAACGGACUGUGCUUUUAGUACAGUUAGUGGCGAAAGGGUGCGGAAUGGAUAGGUAACGUACCCUGUGCUUCAGAAUAGCGUCUGAAAACUUCGGUUUUCUUCCGAAAGGGGCGGUAAUACUGAAUAAUGUCAUUUCUCGUAUGUGAAAUGACCAAAGAUUUAUCGGCACAGGAGCGGCCUAUCUCCUAUCAGCUAGUUGGUGAGGUAAUGGCCCACCAAGGCAACGACGGGUACCGGGACUGAGAGGUUGGCCCGGCUCAUCGGGACUGAGACACUGCCCGGACCUCCACGGAGGGCUGCAGUAACGAAUAUUGCGCAAUGAGCGAAAGCUUGACGCAGCGACGCCGCGUGUAGGAUGAAGCUUUUCGGAGUGUAAACUACUGUCAGGACUUAGAAAGUGCGCUUCGGCGUAUUGAUCAGGUCCAGAGGAAGUCACGGCUAACUUCGUGCCAGCAGCCGCGGUAAUACGAAGGUGGCGAGCGUUGUUCGGAAUCACUGGGCUUAAAGCGUGUGUAGGUGGAAUAGUAAGCGUUUUGUGAAAUCCCUCGGCUUAACCGAGGAACUGCUUGGCGAACUGCUAUUCUUGAGGUAGGUAGGGGUGUGUGGAACUCUUGGUGGAGCGGUGNAAUGCGUAGAUNUCAAGANGAACGCCNNUGGAGAANUCGGCACACUGGGCCUAUCCNGACACUGAGACACGAAAGCGUGGGUAGCGAANGGNAUUAGAUACCCCGGUAGUCCACGCCGUANCNAUGUC
rnacentral:rRNA from 1 species